AUGACUGAUUGUGGAAUUGAAAACUAUUAUUUUGCUAGUUCAGACUUUAUGAUUCUGGCUUGUCAUUGUUUAACUGCAAUUCAAGUGCCAGUAUUUGUGUUCGGGUCUUAUUGUAUUAUUUUUAAGACUCCAAAUCACAUGCUAACAGUAAAAUGGCUACUUUUCAAUACACAUAUUUGGAGUUCCCUGUCCGACUUCGUUAUUUGUUUCAUGACAGUUCCAUACCUAUUCCUUCCUGCUCUCGCUGGCUAUGACUUGGGACUAAUCAAUAAUCCAGGUCUAUCGAUUUAUCUUCUGGUCACUGUAACAGCAUGUGCUCUCGGGGGUCUCCGUGCUUUCAAUCUACGAAAACCGAUAUUUUAUCCUAUUCUGCAAAAAAUCUUGGUGGCGAAAAACGCGAAAAAUAUAUUUUUGCAUCAUUUACGGACUAGUACCUUUGAUGUUUGUAGCUCCAUUAUUUGAUAUACCUGAUCAGGAGGUUGCUCGAUAUGAAGUAUUGAAAUCCAUACCUUGCCUACCUGAACUUACACUGGAAAAUCGGAAAAUGUUCGUUUUGACGUUAGAUUUUACAAUUCCUUUUUCCUGUAUCUUUUGUGCUAUGUUAAUUGUGGUAGCAUCGUUUCUGGUCUUCAUCUUCCUUACCUUUUCGAACAUUUGGUUCGGGGAUGCGUGGGCGGCUUCUAGGCAAACAAUGGUGCUUCAGAGAGCUUUCACGAAAGGCGUCACAGUUCAGACUCUCUACGAAUUUUUUAUACUCUUCAUCCCGGUCGUUACUUGCCUUGGCACAAUAUUUUUCUGGUAUCACAAUCAGGUCAUCAACAAUAUUGCGCUUCUAGUUGUAUCACUAAACGGAAUCGGAUCCACUAUCAUAAUGUUAUUCGCUCAUAAGCCAUAUCGAACUUAUACUCUUUCUAUUUUCUGCUUCCUUUGUCCAAAAGUGACAAAGAAAAGAGAGUCAGUGCAUUUACGGGCACACCAAUUGAGUGCCUUAUCGUGA
rnacentral:misc_RNA from 1 species